rnacentral:rRNA from 1 species
AACGAACGCUGGCGGCAGGCCUAACACAUGCAAGUCGAGCGCGCCCUUCGGGGUGAGCGGCGGACGGGUGAGUAACGCGUGGGAACGUGCCCUUUUCUACGGAAUAGCCUCGGGAAACUGAGAGUAAUACCGUAUACGCCCUUUGGGGGAAAGAUUUAUCGGAAAAGGAUCGGCCCGCGUUGGAUUAGGUAGUUGGUGGGGUAAUGGCCUACCAAGCCGACGAUCCAUAGCUGGUUUGAGAGGAUGAUCAGCCACACUGGGACUGAGACACGGCCCAGACUCCUACGGGAGGCAGCAGUGGGGAGUCUUAGACAAUGGGGGCAACCCUGAUCUAGCCAUGCCGCGUGAGUGAUGAAGGCCUUAGGGUUGUAAAGCUCUUUCAGCUGGGAAGAUAAUGACGGUACCAGCAGAAGAAGCCCCGGCUAACUCCGUG